UACGUAGGCAGCGAGCGUUGUUCGGAAUUACUGGGCGUAAAGAGCGUGUAGGCGGCCUUACAGGUCAGCUGUGAAAACUCGAGGCUCAACCUCGAGACGUCGGUUGAAACCGUAUGGCUAGAGUCCGGAAGAGGAGAGUGGAAUUCCCGGUGUAGCGGUGAAAUGCGCAGAUAUCGGGAGGAACACCGGUGGCGAAGGCGGAUCUCUGGGCCUGUCCUGACGCUCAGGCGCGAAAGCUAGGGGAGCGAACAGG
rnacentral:rRNA from 1 species